UGGAGGAGUAAGAAGUCCCCUAUAACUAACCCCUCUAUCCUCUGUUCCUGGACGAUGACUGCCAUUGACCUCAGAAAUUUAGGAUAUCUGGUUAACCAAAAUGGUUAAACAGACUUUUGGGGAUCUUGCCUGAGUUCUGUAGCUGAGGAUUAGUGAUCUCAUACCCAGAGACCUCUGCCACUGCCAGAUCUGUGCUGAAAUUAUACAUCCCACUACAAGAAAUGCAUCUUAAGAAAGCCUCAAGAGAGACAGCCUUCCCAGUAUCUUGGUCAAGAAUAAAUGUGAAACUGCUGGCAGAAACAGG
ensembl:lncRNA novel transcript, antisense to a novel protein